AGCGAACGCUGGCGGCAGGCUUAACACAUGCAAGUCGAGCGGGCAUAGCAAUACGUCAGCGGCAGACGGGUGAGUAACGCGUGGGAACGUACCUCUUGGUUCGGAACAACUGAGGGAAACUUCAGCUAAUACCGGAUAAGCCCUUACGGGGAAAGAUUUAUCGCCGAAAGAUCGGCCCGCGUCUGAUUAGCUAGUUGGAGAGGUAAUGGCUCACCAAGGCGACGAUCAGUAGCUGGUCUGAGAGGAUGAUCAGCCACAUUGGGACUGAGACACGGCCCAAACUCAUACGGGAGGCAGCAGUGGGGAAUGUUGGACAAUGGUCGCAAGCCUGAUCCAGCCAUGCCGCGUGAGUGAUGAAGGCCCUAGGGUUGUAAAGCUCUUUUGUGCGGGAAGAUAAUGACGGUACCGCAAGAAUAAGCCCCGGCUAACUUCGUGCCAGCCGCCGCAGUAACAC
rnacentral:rRNA from 1 species